rnacentral:rRNA from 1 species
GACAGAGGGUGCAAACGUUGUUCGGAAUUACUGGGCGUAAAGCGUGUGUAGGCGGCUAAAUAAGUCGGAUGUGAAAGCCCCAGGCUCAACCUGGGAAGUGCAUUCGAUACUGUGUAGCUUGAGUAUCGGAGAGGUUGGUGGAAUUCUCGGUGUAGAGGUGAAAUUCGUAGAUAUCGAGAGGAACAUCGGUGGCGAAGGCGGCCAACUGGACGAAUACUGACGCUGAGACACGAAAGCGUGGGGAGCAAACAGG